rnacentral:rRNA from 1 species
GUGGGGAAUAUUGCGCUAAUGCGCGAAAGCGUGACGCAGCGACGCCGCGUGGGGGAUGAAGGCCCUCGGGUCGUAAACCCCUUUCGCCAGGGACGAAGGGAAACUGACGGUACCUGGAGAAGAAGUCCCGGCUAACUACGUGCCAGCAGCCGCGGUAACACGUAGGGGACGAGCGUUGUCCGGAUUCAUUGGGCGUAAAGCGCGCGUAGGCGGCCCGGAAAGUCGGUUGUGAAAGCCCGGGGCUCAACCCCGGGACUGCAUCCGAUACUUCCGGGCUGGAGGUAGGUAGGGGAGAUCGGAAUUCCUGGUGUAGCGGUGAAAUGCGCAGAUAUCAGGAGGAACACCGGUGGCGAAGGCGGAUCUCUGGGCCUUACCUGACGCUGAGGCGCGAAAGCUAGGGGAGCGAACAGGAUUAGAAACCCGGGUAGUCC